UACGCAGGGGGCUAGCGUUGUUCGGAAUCACUGGGCGUAAAGCGCACGCAGGCGGAUCGUUAAGUCAGGGGUGAAAUGCCGAGGCUCAACCUCGGAACUGCCUUUGAUACUGGCGAUCUUAGAGUCCGGGAGAGGUGAGUGGAACUCCGAGUGUAGAGGUGAAAUUCGUAGAUAUUCGGAAGAACACCAGUGGCGAAGGCGGCUCACUGGCCCGGUACUGACGCUGAGGUGCGAAAGCGUGGGGAGCAAACAGG
rnacentral:rRNA from 1 species